UCCCAGAUUCCAGAGUCCUCUGGCCUAGCCCUCGGUUGGAGACGGUUUUAGGGCUAUUUUCGGCCUUCUGGCCCUCUGGACCCUUCGGUUGGAGAUGGCCUAAGCAGAUUCCAUAGGAUUUUCAAGAUGCCACCGUCAAUAAACCAUAUGUUUUAAUGCAUUAUUUAGCCUCGAAGUCGGUCUACCACACACUUAAGUGUACAAUACUGUGUAAUAAAUUAUCCUUUUUUUUUCAUGUAUAUAUUAUUUCUAACAUUUCAACUGUUUAACUCUCUGUAUUCCUGAUUUUUAAUGAAAGAUUUUUCUAUUACUAUAUUAUAUUGGGCAUCUGCUUCUUUGACUUGGGAAGGUAAGUGAUAAGUUGCAUCGUUUUUAGAGUGUCGCAAACUCACAGAUCAGGGACAACUUAUCAACAUCCCUAUGUGCAUAAUGCAUGCAUGUUUAAGGGAUAAGGUUACAGAGAUUAAAAUUUUUAAAUUAAAUUUGUAAAUUAAAUAAUGAUUAUUAAUGAUUGGAUUAUUAUGUAAAUGUCGAUUAACGUGCUUAUUAUAUAUUGGUGACAUAUAAUUUAAUUUGCAAAUUUGAUUUAAAUUAUUGAUCUUCCUAACAUUACCUUUGUUUAAAUUUUGGUAUUCCUAACAUUAUUUAGUAUUCCUUGAUCCUACUCAGUAAGUUCAAUACAAACAUAUGUUAAGAGAGGCUUAUAGACUAGCACAUAGGCUUGCUCGAUCGGUAUGGUUUGGCAAUGGAAUAAGACUUCCUUCGGAUUGACAAACUUCUCGAUUUUAUUGGUGGUCUUCUUAUUGAAGAUGGUCUUUUUACGUAGUUUUUGGUGCGGGUGCUCUUUUUGAUCUCUUAGUUCGGGUUAAAUUUCUCCUUUUACCGGUAUGCCCAAACAAAGCAUUAUAUCUUCUGGUUUGCAGGUAUGCUUCAUAAUGCUAAUUAAUGAAUAUCGUGCCAUAUUUAUAAAAAAUGCGAGUGGGUGGAAGCUUGAAUUACAUACUAAUGAUCAUAUUACUCAUUAAUUUGAUCAUUACAUAAUAUUGUGUUGUAUUAUAUACUAAGGUUCUAAAAGACAUUACUAGUCAAGCGGCGUAUUGGAGUUUAGCACCUAGGUGGCUAGGCGGGGGCCUAGGUAGACUAAACGGAUUUAAGUAAACUUAUUAUACACCAUAUCAAUAAGUGCUUGUUUAUACUUAAAAAAUAUAUAAUUGUAUUAGGAUACAUAGAUUGAAAAAUCAAAUGACAUAUAGAUUAGAAAAUAUUAAAACAUAAUGAAAACACGGGAACCAAAAUAUAAUGAGUAUUCAUCCAAGUAUUCAAUAAGUCUUUUACAGUUUAUUAAAAUAAAACAAAACACAAAAUGAAAGUUAUAUAUUUUUUGUCUAAGUUAGAGUUGCGAUUUAAGUGGGUGCCCAGGCGGGUCUAACCGCCCCUUCUUAAUUUUCAUACGCCUAAGGAUUAAUUGGGCGAUAAUCAGCAGCCUAGCACCUGAGCGGCGCUAGGCGGGGUUUAGAUGGAGCCAGGCGGGACCUAAAAGGCGU
rnacentral:lncRNA from 1 species